rnacentral:misc_RNA from 1 species
AGGUAACCGUACCGGAAGGUGCGGCUGGAUCACCUCCUUUCUAAGGAGCACCAUUUACAUGCCCUGAUCUGAGGGUUUCCCCCAUCCCCGCUAAAGAGUGGGAUUCGGUGGUUGGGAUUGUCGCCGGCGCCUGUAGUGGGCUUGUCCGGCGGGUGCAUACAACAAACGUUCGUCCCGGUGGAAAGCCGUGGGGCGUAAGAGAUUGCCAGACACACUGUUGGGUCCUGAGACAACAGGCCCGUUCGCUUCCCCUCUGUGUGGGGUGGGAGACGCCCCGGUUGCGGGGUGGGGGUUGUUGUUGCCUCACCGGUUUUGGUGGUGGGGUGUGGUGUUUGAUUCGUGGAUAGUGGUUGCGAGCAUCUAACGCGCGCAGAAUGUUGGCCCGGAGGCUUCGGUUUCUGGGUUGCUUGUUCUGUGGGUGUUGAUGUGCAAUUUUGA